AGAGCGAACGCUGGCGGCAGGCCUAACACAUGCAAGUCGAACGGACCCUUCGGGGGUUAGUGGCGGACGGGUGAGUAACACGUGGGAACGUGCCUUUUGGUUCGGAAUAGCUCCUGGAAACGGGUGGUAUGCCGAAUGUGCCCUUCGGGGGAAAGAUUUAUCGCCAUUAGAGCGGCCCGCGUCUGAUUAGCUAGUUGGUGAGGUAAAGGCUCACCAAGGCUACGAUCAGUAGCUGGUCUGAGAGGAUGACCAGCCACAUUGGGACUGAGACACGGCCCAAACUCCUACGGGAGGCAGCAGUGGGGAAUCUGCGCAAUGGGCAAAGCCGUGACGCAGCCAUCGCCGCGUGAAUGAUGAAGGUCUAGGAUUAGUAAAAUUCGUUUACGACGGGACGAUAAGUGGAACGGUACCGGAAGUAAGAACGCCCCGGACUAACUUCGU
rnacentral:rRNA from 1 species